rnacentral:rRNA from 1 species
UACGAAAGGAGCUAGCGUUGUUCGGAAUCACUGGGCGUAAAGCGCACGUAGGCGGAUCUUUAAGUCAGGGGUGAAAUCCUGGAGCUCAACUCCAGAACUGCCUUCGAUACUGGCGAUCUUGAGUCCGGGAGAGGUGAGUGGAACUCCGAGUGUAGAGGUGAAAUUCGUAGAUAUUCGGAAGAACACCAGUGGCGAAGGCGGCUCACUGGCCCGGUACUGACGCUGAAAUACGAAAGCGUGGGGAGCAAACAGG